rnacentral:rRNA from 1 species
UACGAAGGGGGCUAGCGUUGUUCGGAAUUACUGGGCGUAAAGCGCACGUAGGCGGAUUUGUAAGUCAGGGGUGAAAUCCCGGGGCUCAACCUCGGAACUGCCUUUGAUACUGCAAGUCUCGAGUCCGAUAGAGGUGAGUGGAAUUCCUAGUGUAGAGGCGAAAUUCGUAGAUAUUAGGAAGAACACCAGUGGCGAAGGCGGCUCACUGGAUCGGUACUGACGCUGAGGUGCGAAAGCGUGGGGAGCAAACAGG